rnacentral:snRNA from 1 species
GUACUUGCAUCGGCAGGACAUAUACUAAAAUUUAAAAGAUACAGAGAAGAUUAGCAUGGCCUCUGCGCAAGGAUGACACGCAAAAUCGUGAAGCGUUCUACAUUUCU